rnacentral:lncRNA from 1 species
GAUGUCUCUGUGCUCACCGUGCUAGUCCCUAGAUCGACUAGCUAGCACACACAGUACAUAUGAAUAUCAAAUAACAAGUGCAUCAUUUACAACAACGUAUGAUCCAAAAUUCAUAAAGUAUUACAAACUGAGUAGCACAUAGCUAACUUUAUUCAAUAAUAACAGCGGAAAUGUAGCAUAAUUAAACAGUGAGUCCCAUCAAUGCCCACUGGCGAAAAUGCUGAGUGAAGACUCGUGACCCUACUGUAUCUCACUGAUCAUCUGAAAAUCCCGCAACAUGAUAAGUUGCAGCCACAAGGGUCAAUACAUUCAAUGUAUUAGAAAAUCACACAUAAUGAUAUAGCACAACCUACAUCCACAAGUAAAGUAUGACAAAGAAAACACUCAAGUUGGUUUGCAGAAGAAUGUCUCCACCUACCUCCACUACAUUGGCAAGGUGCACACAAACAUGGAUGACAAAGAUCUUCAAGAUGUCUCAAGUGCGCUCAGUCGUGGGGCAUUCUCUAGGGACAAUAGAGCGCUCAGUCAUCAACGCAUUCACCUGAUUUAAGCCCCCAAACCUCAAGUGCGCUCAGCCAUGGCGCAUUCUCUAGGGACAAUAGAGCGCUCAGCCAUUGACGCAUUCACCUGAGAAAAAGUCCCGAGCCUAUAGCUAUGAAGACUCACCACUUCCAUGCAUCACUCGACACAUACCCACGUCUACCAUCGCUAGCUACCCACACCAUCACAUAACACAAUCAAUACCAAAACAUGACAACACAGAACAUAACGAUCAACCAAACAUAUAACAUAUCACAACAACCACACAUGCAUAGCAGAAAUAUAGGAUGAGCAUAAUCAAAAGUGCAAACUUGCCUUGAGCAGUGUUGAAGUACUCUAAUGCUUAAUUCUGAUUUGCUUCACACUCCGGACAAUAAAAGCCAACAACAAAGAAUCCAAAUAAGAACUAACAUAACAGAACAUAUCAGUUGGUAUAUCUUAUCUACAUGCUAGAGGUAUCACAAUGCAAAACGAAUCAACUAAUUGGGAUCAACGGUUUGAAAGAUAUGGCCUCCAGAAGGUUAAAUUCAAAUUUAAGCAAAUUCAAAUUUAAACAGUUCAAAAAUGUGAAAUUUUGGUUCUACAAUAUUCUACUGGUCACUACAAGUACACAGAAAAAAGAAUCGUUGAAUUUGGUGUUACGGAUCUCAAGAUAUACCUAAACGAAAAUAUGAUAUGAAAUCUGCCCAAAAAGAAUUGUGCCAUAACAGCGUUCCUGGAAGAACUGCCAGACUUAAGCGACGGACGGACGGUUUAUAACACAAAAUGUUUCAACGAAAAAAACAGCAGGGAGACGUGCUCACCGGAGAAACAAGGGCAGGGCAGCCGGACUUGGACAAAACGGCGGCGCGGCGGCUCGGGCGGCGACGGUGGCGCCUGCUCCGGUGGUAUCCAGACUCCGGAGGGUAGCGUACGGGGCGAGGAGCUUUGCUGUGGUCUCGAAGACGUCCUCAGCGGCGUCUGUGGCGAGCGAGGACGACAGCAGAGGGUGGCUGGAAUCGACUGCGGUAGAAGCUUCGGGCGGAUGUACUCCGGCAAGAUCGGGAUCCUCUGGAACAGGCGAGAUAGUGCAUGGGGACCUACAAAAAGGUGAAAAUCGAAAGAGGAGGAGCUGGAUAUCUUAUAUAGGGCAUCAAUUCACGCAUGGAGUCCAGGGAUCAAUUGAAUUGGCCGAUCUGAUUGUGGCUGGGUUCGGCAGCUAAUGUGUUCGGGAAAAACACGCUGGGCAAGGUGAUGACAUGCGGGCCUGGCGGUCAGCGGUAGAGAGCAGAGAACGAAAAAAACAAAAG